rnacentral:lncRNA from 1 species
GCCCAUGGUCCCUCUAAUAAGCAAUAUGCCAGCAAGAGUUGACAAGUUUUUAAUUUCAAAAGUCUUUGAUCUAAGAGUAUGACAUUCCUCUCCUUGGAUCCCGUUUCGAUCAGACAAUAAAUACAAGGUAAGUAUGCUUGAGAAUUUUUGCAAAUUAAAACAGCCUCAGUGAGAUAUAAAAGAUAAUGAGCGACCUGAGAACCUAUGAGGACAAAGGUAUGCUAAAUUUCUUUUCAAAAAUAUACAAAAACUCCAAGUGACAGGAUUGAGAAGAAAGGGCCUCUACUCUUGACCAUAUAUUUCCCUAACUACGGUAUACAGUGAAUUUUUACAACACCC